CAGCCGCCGCGGUAAGACAGAGGAUGCAAGCGUUAUCCGGAAUGAUUGGGCGUAAAGCGUCUGUAGGUGGCUUUUCAAGUCCGCCGUCAAAUCCCAGGGCUCAACCCUGGAACUGCAUUCAAUACUGCAUUGCUAGAGUACUGGAGAGGAGAUUGGAAUUCACGGUGUAGCAGUGAAAUGCGUAGAUAUCGUGAGGAAGACCAGUGGCGAAGGCGAUCUCUGGACAGUAACUGACGCUGAGGCACGAAGGCUAGGGGAGCAAACGGGAUUAGAUACCCCUGUAGUCCCUGUCUCUUAUACA
rnacentral:rRNA from 1 species